rnacentral:rRNA from 1 species
AUACGUAGGAUGCGAGCGUUAUCCGGAUUUAUUGGGUUUAAAGGGAGCGUAGGUGGGAUAUUAAGUCAGCUGUGAAAGUUUGGGGCUCAACCUUAAAAUUGCAGUUGAUACUGGUUUCCUUGAGUACGGUACAGGUGGGCGGAAUUCGUGGUGUAGCGGUGAAAUGCUUAGAUAUCACGAAGAACUCCGAUUGCGAAGGCAGCUCACUGGACUGCAACUGACACUGAUGCUCGAAAGUGUGGGUAUCAAACAGGAUUAGAUUCCCUGGUAGUCCACACAGUAAACGAUGAAUACUCGCUGUUUGCGAUAUACAGUAAGCGGCCAAGCGAAAGCAUUAAGUAUUCCACCUGGGGAGUACGCCGGCAACGGUGAAACUCAAAGGAAUUGACGGGG